GAUGAACGCUAGCGGCAGGCUUAACACAUGCAAGUCGAGGGGUAACAGGGUAGCAAUAUCGCUGACGACCGGCGCACGGGUGAGUAACGCGUAUGCAACCUUCCUUUAACUGGGGGAUAGCCCGGAGAAAUUCGGAUUAAUACCCCAUAAUAUUCCGAAAGUGCAUACUUUUGGAAUUAAAGCUCCGGCGGUUAAAGAUGGGCAUGCGUACCAUUAGCUUGUUGGUGAGGUAACGGCUCACCAAGGCAACGAUGGUUAGGGGGUCUGAGAGGAUGAUCCCCCACACUGGUACUGAGACACGGACCAGACACCUACGGGUGGCUG
rnacentral:rRNA from 1 species